rnacentral:ncRNA from 1 species
UGUAUCUCUCAGAUUUGGAUCCCAUAGGAGAUCCUUCCUUCUCUUAUUUGAAAACACUAAAAGAGGAAAAAAAAAAUGACGUGCAACAUAUCUUUGAUUAAAAAAGACUAUCUGAUGAGUUUAAACAUAUUGCUAAGCAAAUGAUAAGAAACUAACCAAGAUUUCUUUAGUAAUGGCAAGGGAAUUGGAAAGAGUCCAACUUGAAAAUUGAGGUGCUUCACGCCUCAAAUUAUAGUCUAAAGAAGUGCCUCCUACAAUGUGCUAGUCCCAAGUUCCUUAGAAUAGGAUGUCCAAGAGGGUGACAACCUCAUCAAGGCUGGUUUUUGAUGCUCCACAAGGUGCAAUCUAUGAGUGAAGUUAUUUGAAAAUGCAGUCUUAAGUGGGAGAUAAAUUCUCUUUUAAGGUUAAUAUUUGUAAGAUACCAAUAGUGAUCAAGUACUUUGAGAGAAAGAUGAAAAGGACUUUAAAAAGAGAAUUAAACAGUGCUUAAAA